rnacentral:rRNA from 1 species
CCUACGGGGGGCAGCAGUGAGGAAUAUUGGUCAAUGGGCGGGAGCCUGAACCAGCCAAGCCGCGUGAGGGAAGAAGGUACAGCGUAUCGUACACCUCUUUUGUCAGGGAACAAAGGCGGGGACUAGUCCCCGGAUGAGGGUACCUGAAGAACAAGCAUCGGCUAACUCCGGGCCAGCAGCCGCGGUAAUACGGAGGAUGCGAGCGUUAUCCGGUUUUAUUGGGGUUAAAGGGAGCGCAGGCGGCCUGUUAAGUCAGCGGUAAAAGCCCGGGGCUAAACCCCGGCGAGCUGUUGAAACUGGCGGGCGGGAGUUGGAGAGAGGUACGCGGAAUGCGCGGUGUAGCGGUGAAAUGCUGAGAGAUCGCGCAGAACCCCGAUUGCGAAGGCAGCGUACCGGCUCCACACUGACGCUGAGGCACGAAAGCGUGGGUAUCGAACAGGAUUAGAUACCCGAGUAGUC